rnacentral:rRNA from 1 species
AGCGAACGCUGGCGGCAGGCCUAACACAUGCAAGUCGAACGAACUCUUCGGAGUUAGUGGCGGACGGGUGAGUAACACGUGGGAACGUGCCUUUAGGUUCGGAAUAACUCAGGGAAACUUGUGCUAAUACCGAAUGUGCCCUUCGGGGGAAAGAUUUAUCGCCUUUAGAGCGGCCCGCGUCUGAUUAGCUAGUUGGUGAGGUAAGGGCUCACCAAGGCGACGAUCAGUAGCUGGUCUGAGAGGAUGAUCAGCCACAUUGGGACUGAGACACGGCCCAGACUCCUACGGGAGGCAGCAGUGGGGAAUCUUGCGCAAUGGGCGAAAGCCUGACGCAGCCAUGCCGCGUGAAUGAUGAAGGUCUUAGGAUUGUAAAAUUCUUUCACCGGGGACGAUAAUGACGGUACCCGGAGAAGAAGCCCCGGCUAACUUCGUGCCAGCAGCCGCCGUAA